rnacentral:rRNA from 1 species
UACGUAGGUCCCGAGCGUUGUCCGGAUUUAUCGGGCGUAAAGCGAGCGCAGGUGGUUUAUUAAGUCUGGUGUAAAAGGCAGUGGCUCAACCAUUGUAUGCAUUGGAAACUGGUAGACUUGAGUGCAGGAGAGGAGAGUGGAAUUCCAUGUGUAGUGGUGAAAUGCGUAGAUAUAUGGAGGAACACCGGUGGCGAAAGCGGCUCUCUGGCCUGUAACUGACACUGAGGCUCGAAAGCGUGGGGAGCAAACAGG